rnacentral:rRNA from 1 species
AACAACAGUUGGAAACGACUGCUAAUACCGUAUACGCCCUACGGGGGAAAGAUUUAUCGGGGUAUGAUGAGCCCGCGUUGGAUUAGCUGAUGGGUGGGGUAAAGGCCUACCAAGGCGACGAUCCAUAGCUGGUCUGAGAGGAUGAUCAGCCACAUUGGGACUGAGACACGGCCCAAACUCCUACGGGAGGCAGCAGUGGGGAAUAUUGGACAAUGGGCGCAAGCCUGAUCCAGCCAUGCCGCGUGAGUGAUGAAGGUCUUAGGAUUGUAAAGCUCUUUCACCGACGAAGAUAAUGACGGUAGUCGGAGAAGAAGCCCCGGCUAACUUCGUGCCAGCAGCCGCGGUAAUACGAAGGGGGCUAGCGUUGUUACGAAUUCUGGGCGUAAAGCGCAUGUAGGCGGAUAUUUAAGUCAGGGGUGAAAUCCCGCAGCUCAACUGC